UCCCAUGUAGCUCAGUUGGUGAAGAGUCUGCCUGCAAUGCAGGAGACCCAGGUUCAAUUCCUGGGUCAGGAA
rnacentral:tRNA from 1 species